GAUCCUGGCUCAGGAUGAACGCUAGCUACAGGCUUAACGCAUGCAAGUCGAGGGGCAGCAUUCUUCUAGCAAUAGAAGAGAUGGCGACCGGCGCACGGGUGAGUAACACGUAUCCAACCUACCGAUAACUCUGGAAUAGCCUUUCGAAAGAAAGAUUAAUACCGGAUAGUAUACGAAUAUCGCAUGAUAUUUUUAUUAAAGAAUUUCGGUUAUCGAUGGGGAUGCGUUCCAUUAGUUUGUUGGCGGGG
rnacentral:rRNA from 1 species